rnacentral:rRNA from 1 species
UGUAAAAAAAACGACUCCCGGCAACGGAUAUCUCGGCUCUCGCAUCGAUGAAGAACGUAGCGAACUGCGAUACUUGGUGUGAAUUGCAGAAUCCCGUGAAUCAUCGAGUCUUUGAACGCAAGUUGCGCCCGAAGCCAUUAGGCCGAGGGCACGUCUGCCUGGGUGUCAAACAUCGUUGCCCCAGCACAAAUUGUGCCAGGGGCGGAUAUUGGCCUCCCGUGAGCAUGACUCGCGGUUGGCCUAAAUGCGAGUCCGUGGUGGUGAGCGCCAAGGCAUACGGUGGUUGAGUUAUUCUCGAAGCCAGCUGUCCUGCGUGUCUCCCCUCCUGAACGACUCUAUCAACCCUAUUGCAUCGCAUAGAUGCUUCCAACGUGACCCCAGGUCAGGCGGGACUACCCGCUGAAUUUAAGCAUAUCAAUAAGCGGAGGAAAAGAAACUAACAAGGAUUCCCCUAGUAACGGCGAGCGAACCGGGAAUAGCCCACCAUGAAAAUCGGUUGCCCUCGGCAUCCGAAUUGUAGUCUGGAGAAGCGUCCUCAGCGACGGACCGAGCCCAAGUCCCCUGGAAGGGGGCGCCAGAGAGGGUGAGAGCCCCGUUGUGCUCGGACCCUGUUGCACCACGAGGCGCUGUCGGCGAGUCGGGUUGUUUGGGAAUGCAGCCCAAAUCGGGCGGUAAACUCCGUCCAAGGCUAAAUACA